AAAAAGGGACAGAGAAGGUAUCGAUAAUUCACAAAAUACAUACCAUAAAAUUUCUAUCGGCACCUAUUCGUAAAAGGGGAAGAUCAGUUCAAAGACAAAAGAAAAAGGAAGAAGGAAAAGAUCGAAUCAAACACAUAAGAAGGGAGAGAGUUCAAAGGCUUAAUAAUUUGGUUCACCGGGAUAUACCUCGAUCCCGUAGGUUGG
rnacentral:lncRNA from 1 species